GGAUGCGAUAUAACCCUAAACAACAGUAGCCCCCACUGCUAUUCUGCGGCAUUCGGUGCCUCGUGUUUGCUGGAAGUCAAAUGUCAGAGGAGGUUCCUCACACUCAUUCUUUUCGUUUUUCUCAAUACAAUUCCAUACUGCUGACGGUCGGUGAAAAGUUCUUGGCACAGGGCCUGGCCAAGAAGCCUAGAAGAAGACUUCUAAGCCUAAGCCUAGCCUAAGCCUCAGAUGAAAUCAUGGCCAUGGCUGGCACUGUGCAGCUUUGUGAGACUGUAAGCAGAGGACCCAGAAAAAAUGUGCUGGAUUCCUGACCCUUGGAAACUGACCUGCGGAUGGCUGGAUGCUUGAGUUCUGGGAGAGGAGACCUGAUGGAGCCAGCGAGUGUGCCCUUGGGUGUUAUCAUGCUCUGGCCUGGGAUCUUGGGGAUGGCGAAGGGACCAGUGGAGAAUCAG